GAGGGUGUAGCUCGGUGGUAGAGUGUGUGCCUAGCAAGCGCAAGGUCCUGGGUUCUAAUCCCCAGCACCUCCA
rnacentral:tRNA from 1 species